rnacentral:rRNA from 1 species
UACGGGGGAUGCGAGCGUUAUCCGGAUUUAUUGGGUUUAAAGGGCGCGUAGGCGGGACGCCAAGUCAGCGGUAAAAGACUGCAGCUAAACUGUAGCACGCCGUUGAAACUGGCGACCUGGAGACGAGACGAGGGAGGCGGAACAAGUGAAGUAGCGGUGAAAUGCUUAGAUAUCACUUGGAACCCCGAUAGCGAAGGCAGCUUCCCAGGCUCGAUCUGACGCUGAUGCGCGAGAGCGUGGGUAGCGAACCGG